UACGGAGGGUGCAAGCGUUAAUCGGAAUUACUGGGCGUAAAGCGCGCGUAGGCGGCUGGAUAAGUCGAUUGUGAAAGCCUUGGGCUCAACCUGAGAAUUGCAGUCGAGACUGUUCGGCUAGAGUGUGGGAGAGGGUGGUGGAAUUCCCGGUGUAGCGGUGAAAUGCGUAGAUAUCGGUAGUAACAUCAAAUGCGACGGCGACCACCUGGACCAACACUGACGCUGAGGUGCGAAAGCGUGGGUAGCAAACAGG
rnacentral:rRNA from 1 species